UUGCAUAGAUUUCCUGCAGCUUCUGGAUGGAACCGUUGGCUGCUUCCCCCUUUGUUUUUGCUCUGCAUCAGAGUCAGGAGUUGUUCAGGGCACAGAAUGAGUGUACACAGAUGCUUGUGCAGGCAUGACGGUGGUGGUGGUGAUGGUGGUGGUGGUGGUGACUUGGAAGGACGCUGCUCCACGUGUUGUGGGUCCAUGAUCUUUGUCCCAAAAGAGAGGCUUUCCUCCCUAAAGUGCUUAAGGACCUAGAGAGUCACACGAAAAGGCAGAAACACUGGAGAGAACGGCUCAAACGGAUUCGAAAACGGUCAGGAACCAGCAGGGUGGGGGAGGGGCCGCUAAUCCGAUAGGGGCUCCCUGAGAGGGGUAAGGCACAGAGCGGUGCGCAGUGUUUACAGAGGAAAGCGCAUCAGUUGUUCCUACCAAAUGGGACCCGCGCUUUCUAGAGAAGCCAGCGUUAGGAAGCUGAGAGCUUAUGAUUCAGAGAUGGAGGUUUGCGAAUGGUGACUCUCAUGAGAUUCGGAAGCACUGAGGAAUCUGAGUCAAGGCUGUCUUCCUGCAAGCCUCUGAGGAAACGUGGCAGCUAUCAGCAUGGGUAGAAGGUCAGAGGACAGUGAGGUGUCUCCAGAAACAGUGCCACCACUCAGGAGAGGCUGAAAGCCAAUGGGGCAGAUGGCGGCAGAAACUCAGCUUGAGCGUCAUUGAGGAUGUGAGACCUAGAGUCCAGCCCUAACUACAUGGGACCCUGACUCAAGCAAACCAUAGGACUGCAAAGAUGACCACCAGAGAACCUGUGCCCAGCUUCCAGCACACACAUGCGCAUAAAUACAAAUAAAAUAUUUAAAGGAAAUAAAACCAAGUAACAAAAAGGAAUGUAUGCAGCAGAUAAACGGCCUGGAUUUAAAUUCCAGCUCUGCCACCAGCCGGCUAUGUUUUGAAGUGAGCCUCUUUUCCAGAGCAUUCUCUCUCUCUCCCUCCCCCAUACCCUU
rnacentral:sRNA from 1 species